AUUACACCAAUUCGUGUAAAAUGCGAUUUUCUUUGAUAAUUUUAAUUUCUAUGAGUUUAAUUGCCACUGUUAAUAGUUUAAAAUGUUAUCAAUGUCGUUCGGAUCAAGACAAACAUUGUGAGGAGAUUGAAGAUGCUUCGGAAAAAUAUCUAAAAAAAUGUAAAGCACCAGAAGUUGAAGAAGAUACAAAUGAAGACGUUUCGGAUGAAGAUAAAACUGAUGAUGAUGAUGUUUCUGGUUCUAAAGAUAGGCCAAAACGUCAGUCAAUUACAACAGCUCGUGAUACAGCGUUUAGAUGUAGAAAAAUCACACAAACUCUUUAUAUAACCGAUCCAUAUGAGACUAUAGUAUAUCGCGAGUGUACUUCAAUGUUCUUCGAAAACGAG